UACGUAGGGGGCAAGCGUUGUCCGGAAUUAUUGGGCGUAAAGCGCGUGUAGGCGGCUCGGUAAGUCUGCUGUGAAAGUCCAAGGCUCGAACCUUGGAAAGCCGGUGGAUACUGUCGAGCUCGAGUCCGGAAGAGGCGAGUGGAAUUCCUGGUGUAGCGGUGAAAUGCGUAGAGAUGUGGAGGAACACCGAUGGCGAAGGCAGCCUCCUGGGCCGAGCACUGACGCUCAUG
rnacentral:rRNA from 1 species